CUUUGGGCAUGAGGUCUAGGGUGGGUUCUAGGGCUUUGACUCUAGAUUUUUUUGUGAGAAGAAAUAUAAGAGGGUCUUGUUCAAAUCCCCUACACCACCACCUCCUUGUGUAGCUCCAUCUUCUAAUCUAGAAGAGUCUGUGUGAUCCAAAGGAAGGAGUUUAAAUCAGCCAUCCAAAGCCUUCGACGCGAGCUAACACUCUCGAAAAGGAUGAUCUGAUUAGGGC
rnacentral:lncRNA from 1 species